UACGAAGGGGGCUAGCGUUGCUCGGAAUCACUGGGCGUAAAGGGCGCGUAGGCGGCGGUGUAAGUUGGAAGUGAAAUCCCAUCGGCUCAACCGUGGAAUUGCUCCCAGUACUGCAUCGCUCGAGGGGGAUAGGGGUCUGCGGAACUACCGGUGGAGCGGUGAAAUGUGUUGAUAUCGGUGGGAACGCCAGUGGCGAAAGCGGCAGACUUGACCCUUCCUGACGCUGAGGCGCGAAAGCUAGGGGAGCAAACGGG
rnacentral:rRNA from 1 species